rnacentral:tRNA from 1 species
GGAGAGAUGUCCGAGUCCGGCUGAAGGAGCACGACUGGAAAUCGUGUAGGCGGCCUUAAACUGUCUCGGGGGUUCAAAUCCCCCUCUCUCCG